GAUGAACGCUGGCGGCGUGCCUAAUACAUGCAAGUCGAGCGAAUGGAUUAAGAGCUUGCUCUUAUGAAGUUAGCGGCGGACGGGUGAGUAACACGUGGGUAACCUGCCCAUAAGACUAGGAUAACCCCGGGAAACCGGGGCUAAUACCGGAUAACAUUUUGAACCGCAUGGUUCGAAAUUGAAAGGCGGCUUCGGCUGUCACUUAUGGAUGGACCCGCGUCGGAUUAGCUAGUUGGUGAGGUAACGGCUCACCAAGGCAACGAUGCGUAGCCGACCUGAGAGGGUGAUCGGCCACACUGGACUGAGACACGGCCCAGACUCCUACGGGAGGCAGCAGUAGGGAAUCUUCCGCAAUGGACGAAAGUCUGACGGAGCAACGCCGCGUGAGUGAUGAAGGCUUUCGGGUCGUAAAACUCUGUUGUUAGGGAAGAACAAGUGCUAGUUGAAUAAGCUGGCACCUUGACGGUACCUAACCAGAAAGCCACGGCUAACUACGUGCCAGCCGCCGCCGUAA
rnacentral:rRNA from 1 species